UUUAUUAACAGAUAAUAAAUCUUCUUCAUUGCCAUUGGAGUCAAAGUCUUUCUUAUUGUGUUUCUUCCAAUAGUUGUGAUUUUGAUAUGGUGGAAGCGAUGUAAACGUUCUGCGGAUGAAAAGGAGAACAGCCAAGAUUAUGAAAAUAUGAGGUUAUGAAGAAGGAAAUGUCUAUUGAUGGCCUCCGCCUGGGCCUGAUGACAUUAUACUCGAUACAUGACUUGGCAGGUGGUUUUU